rnacentral:rRNA from 1 species
CCUACGGGGGACAGCAGUGAGGAAUAUUGGUCAAUGGGCGCGAGCCUGAACCAGCCAAGUCGCGUGAGGGAAGAAGGUCCAGUGGAUUGUAAACCUCUUUUGUCGGGGAACAAAAGACGCCACUCGUCCCGUUCCGAGAGUACCUGAAGAAAAAGCAUCGGCUAACUCCGUGCCAGCAGCCGCGGUAAUACGGAGGAUGCGAGCGUUAUCCGGAUUUAUUGGGUUUAAAGGGUGCGCAGGCGGAAUGUCAAGUCAGCGGUAAAAUUGAGAGGCUCAACCUCGUCGAGCCGUUGAAACUGGUGGGCUUGAGUGGGAGAGAAGUAGGCGGAAUGCGCGGUGUAGCGGUGAAAUGCAUAGAUAUCACGCAGAACUCCGAUUGCGAAGGCAGCAUACCGGCGCCAAACUGGCGCUGAGGCACGAAAGCGUGGGUAUCGAACAGGAUUAGAUACCCUAGUAGUC